rnacentral:misc_RNA from 1 species
GAUGAAGAACGUAGCGAAAUGCGAUACUUGGUGUGAAUUGCAGAAUCCCGUGAACCAUCGAGUCUUUGAGCGCAAGUUGCGCCCGAAGCCAUUAGGCCGAGGGCACGCCUGCCUGGGCGUCACACGUCGUUGCCCCCCCAUCUACUCCUUCGGGAUUGCGGGGGGCGGAUGAUGGCCUCCCGUGCGCCUCGUCGCGCGGUUGGCAUAAAUGCCAAGUCCUCGGCGACGCACGCCACGACAAUCGGUGGUUGCGAAACCUCGGUUGCCCGUCGUGUGCGGUCGUCGCGCAUCGAGGGCUCGAAAAAAUUGCCGGGCUCCGGCUCGGCUUUCAACGCGACCCCAGGUCAGGCGGGGUUACCCGCUGAAUUUAAGCAUAUCAAUAAGCGGAGGA